rnacentral:rRNA from 1 species
CCUACGGGUGGCAGCAGUGGGGAAUAUUGCACAAUGGGGGAAACCCUGAUGCAGCGACGCCGCGUGAGUGAAGAAGUAUUUCGGUACGUAAAGCUCUAUCAGCAGGGAAGAAAAUGACGGUACCUGACUAAGAAGCCACGGAUAACUACGUGCCAGCAGCCGCGGUAAUACGUAGGGGGCAAGCGUUAUCCGGAUUUACUGGGUGUAAAGGGAGCGUAGACGGCAGCGCAAGUCUGGAGUGAAAUCCCAUGGCUUAACCAUGGAACUGCUUUGGAAACUGUGCAGCUAGAGUGCAGGAGAGGUAAGCGGAAUGCCUAGUGUAGCGGUGAAAUGCGUAGAUAUUAGGAGGAACACCAGUGGCGAAGGCGGCUUACUGGACUGUAACUGACGUUGAGGCUCGAAAGCGUGGGGAGCAAACAGGAUUAGAUACCCUAGUAGUC